AUCAACUUUCGAUGGUAGGAUAGAGGCCUACCAUGGUGGUAACGGGUAACGGGGUGUUAGGGCACGACACCGGAGAGGGAGCCUGAGAAACGGCUACCACAUCCAAGGAUGGCAGCAGGCGCGCAAAUUACCCAAUCCCGACACGGGGAGGUAGUGACAAUAAAUAACAAUACGGGGUUCUUUCGGAUCUCGUAAUUGGAAUGAGUACAAUUUAAAUCUCUUAACGAGGAACAAUUGGAGGGCAAGUCUGGUGCCAGCAGCCGCGGUAAUUCCAGCUCCAAUAGCGUAUAUUAAAGUUGUUGCAGUUAAAAAGCUCGUAGUUGAAUUUCGGGGUCAGUAGGUUGGUCGUGCCACAGGUAUGAACUGGUCUCACUGAUUCCUCCUUCCUGAUGAACCGUAAUGCCAUUAAUUUGGUGUUGCGGGGAGACUGGACUGUUACUUUGAAAAAAUUAGAGUGUUUAAAGCAGGCUAACGCUUGAAUACAUUAGCAUGGAAUAAUGAAAUAGGACGUUCGGUCUUAUUUUGUUGGUUUCUAAGAUUGACGUAAUGAUUAAUAGGGAUAGUUGGGGGCAUUAGUAUUCAAUUGUCAGAGGUGAAAUUCUUGGAUUUAUUGAAGACUAACUACUGCGAAAGCAUUUGCCAAGGAUGUUUUCAUUAAUCAAGAACGAAAGUUAGGGGAUCGAAGACGAUCAGAUACCGUCGUAGUCUUAACCAUAAACUAUGCCGACUAGGGAUCGGAUGAUGUUAAUUUUUUAAUGACUCAUUCGGCGCCUUACGGGAAACCAAAGUGUUUGGGUUC
rnacentral:rRNA from 2 species